rnacentral:rRNA from 1 species
UACGUAGGGGGCUAGCGUUGUCCGGAUUUAUUGGGCGUAAAGAGCUCGUAGGUGGUUCGGUUAGUCGGAUGUGAAAUCUCCAGGCUCAACCUGGAGGGGUCAUUCGAUACUGCCGUGACUAGAGUUCGGUAGAGGAGUGUGGAAUUCCUGGUGGAGCGGUGAAAUGCGCAGAGAUCAGGAGGAACACCCGUAGCGAAGGCGGCACUCUGGGCCGAUACUGACACUGAGGAGCGAAAGGCGUGGGGAGCGAACAGG